rnacentral:rRNA from 1 species
CCUACGGGUGGCAGCAGUCGAGAAUCAUUCACAAUGGGGGAAACCCUGAUGGUGCGACGCCGCGUGGGGGAAUGAAGGUCUUCGGAUUGUAAACCCCUGUCAUGUGGGAGCAAAUUAAAAAGAUAGUACCACAAGAGGAAGAGACGGCUAACUCUGUGCCAGCAGCCGCGGUAAUACAGAGGUCUCAAGCGUUGUUCGGAAUCACUGGGCGUAAAGCGUGCGUAGGCUGUUUCGUAAGUCGUGUGUGAAAGGCGCGGGCUCAACCCGUGGACGGCACAUGAUACUGCGAGACUAGAGUAAUGGAGGGGGAACCGGAAUUCUCGGUGUAGCAGUGAAAUGCGUAGAUAUCGAGAGGAACACUCGUGGCGAAGGCGGGUUACUGGACAUUAACUGACGCUGAGGCACGAAGGCCAGGGGAGCGAAAGGGAUUAGAUACCCCAGUAGUC